rnacentral:rRNA from 1 species
GACGAACGCUGGCGGCGUGCUUAACACAUGCAAGUCGAACGGUGACGGAGAGCUUGCUCUCCUGAUCAGUGGCGAACGGGUGAGUAACACGUGGGCAACCCGCCCACGACUUCGGGAUAACGCUUCGAAAGAGGUGCUAAUACCGGAUACGAGCUCCUUGGGCAUCCUUGGAGUUGGAAAGUUUUUACGGUCUGGGAUGGGCCCGCGGCCUAUCAGCUAGUUGGUGAGGUAACGGCUCACCAAGGCGACGACGGGUAGCCGGCCUGAGAGGGCGACCGGCCACACUGGGACUGAGACACGGCCCAGACUCCUACGGAGGCAGCAGUGGGGAAUAUUGCGCAAUGGGCGAAAGCCUGACGCAGCAACGCCGCGUGAGGGAUGACGGCCUU